rnacentral:rRNA from 1 species
UUAAACUGAAGAGUUUGAUCCUGGCUCAGAUUGAACGCUGGCGGCAUGCCUUACACAUGCAAGUCGAACGGCAGCACGGGUGCUUGCACCUGGUGGCGAGUGGCGAACGGGUGAGUAAUACAUCGGAACAUGUCCUGUAGUGGGGGAUAGCCCGGCGAAAGCCGGAUUAAUACCGCAUACGAUCCAUGGAUGAAAGCGGGGGACCUUCGGGCCUCGCGCUAUAGGGU